rnacentral:rRNA from 1 species
AUUGAACGCUGGCGGCAUGCCUUACGCAUGCAAGUCGACCGGCAGCACGGGAGCAAUCCUGGUGGCGAGUGGCGAACGGGUGAGUAGAGUAUCGGAACGUGCCCAGUCGUGGGGGAUAACGUAGCGAAAGCUACGCUAAUACCGCAUACGAUCUAUGGAUGAAAGCGGGGGAUUGCAAGACCUCGCGCGAUUGGAGCGGCCGAUAUCAGAUUAGGUAGUUGGUGGGGUAAAGGCCCACCAAGCCGACGAUCUGUAGCUGGUCUGAGAGGACGACCAGUCACACUGGGACUGAGACACGGCCCAGACUCCUGCGGGAGGCAGCAGUGGGGAAUUUUGGACAAGGGGCGCAAGCCUGACCCAGCAAUGCCGCGUGCAGGAUGAAGGCCUUCGGGUUGUAAACCGCUUUUGUACGGAACGAAAAGACUCUUUCUAAUAAAGAGGGUCCAUGACGGUACCGUAAGAAUAAGCACCGGCUAACUACGUGCCAGCAGCCGCGGUAA